rnacentral:lncRNA from 1 species
AUCAUAGUUUCAAUCCUUGAAUUUAUUAUUCAUUGUUAUAUAGAGAUGAUUCCUACCCAAAGAAGGAAUCCACUCUACUCUUGAAUGAAGCUUAGCUUGGUUUGGUUCGCUUCUUAGGAUAAAUUGUCAUUAUCAUUCCCGUAUAUAUCAUAUCAGAAAUCGAGCGAGCAUCUCUUGUUGAUGAUAAAGUAUUGGAAUCUCUUCUUUUGUCCUAAUUCUUCAAGAAUAUGUACCAAUAAUAUCUUAACAACUAAGAAUAGGAAGGAUCUCGCAACCUCUCCUUCCUCAAUGACUACAAGAGAUUCAAAAUACAAAUUACAAUAUAAUAUAGUAUAUAUUAUCGGGGAAAAAAUAUGUAUUGCACACGGUUGUCUUAGUAAAUACAGAGCAACUAAGUCCGAAAGUAUCGAAACUGGCCCCGGAAACAUAAUAAUACCAAACCGAAGGAUGAGUCACAAAGAAAACUUUGGAGUCAAGCCGUACCCAGCCAAAAUUAGGAACCUUCAUAAUAUUCUACACUUUGUGAACUUUAUUUUAUCUCCUCUGAUUAUAAAGUUGAAUUUGAGGAUACUAACAAAAUUUGUCGUAAAGAUCCUAACAUAGUCCGAAACAUAUUGAAAAAGAUACAAUUCCUACCCAGUUUCGAAAUAUUCCUCUAUAUUACUCCAGAUCAAUUUGAACACUUAGAUCCCAAGCUUGUCUUUCUUCAUCUUGGGUCCUUAGGCAAAUAUAAUUUAAAAAAACAGUGACAUUAAGAACUUUGAGAUGAUUGACAAACUUUAACCAAAGAAAGAAAUCCAUUUUUUAAUGAAAUUAACAUUCUACAAUCUUAAAUCACAGUUGAUUUUAAAUUUUAGAUUCAAAUUUGUCUAGGGAUUGAUCAAUUUAGAGUACUUUAGCUCUUAAGCAUUUAAGAUUUUUUAAAUUUACGUACAAAAAUAAUGAGCUUCCAUUUCACCGCCUAUUCACAUAUUAUUAUCAACAAUUAUAUUCAAAAAUGCGACGUAUUACUAAAUAUACAAGUUUACUUCAA